UACAGGGGGUGCAAACGUUGCUCGGAAUCAUUGGGCGUAAAGCGCACGUAGGCGGUUCGUUAUGUCGGAUGUGAAAGCCCUUGGCUUAACCGAGGAAGUGCAUCCGAAACUGCAGUGCUUGAGUACUUAAGAGGAUCGCGGAAUUCCCGGUGUAGAGGUGAAAUUCGUAGAUAUCGGGAGGAACACCAGUGGCGAAGGCGGCGAUCUGGGAAGAUACUGACGCUGAGGUGCGAAAGCGUGGGGAGCAAACAGG
rnacentral:rRNA from 1 species